GAUGAACGCUGGCGGCGUGCCUAAUACAUGCAAGUCGAGCGAACGGACGAGAAGCUUGCUUCUCUGAUGUUAGCGGCGGACGGGUGAGUAACACGUGGAUAACCUACCUAUAAGACUGGGAUAACUUAGGGAAACCGGAGCUAAUACCGGAUAAUAUUUUGAACCGCAUGGUUCAAAAGUGAAAGACGGUCUUGCUGUCCCUUAUAGAUGGAUCCGCGCUGCAUUAGCUAGUUGGUAAGGUAACGGCUUACCAAGGCAACGAUGCAUAGCCGACCGGAGAGGGUGAUCGGCCACACGGGAACUGAGACACGGACCAGACUCCUACGGGAGGCAGCAGUAGGGAAUCUUCCGCAAUGGGCGAAAGCCUGACGGAGCAACGCCGCGUGAGUGAUGAAGGUCUUCGGAUCGUAAAACUCUGUUAUUAGGGAAGAACAUAUGUGUAAGUAACUGUGCACAUCUUGACGGUACCUAAUCAGAAAGCCACGGCUAACUACGUG
rnacentral:rRNA from 1 species